GACAUAGGUUGCGAGCGUUAUUCGGAAUUACUGGGCGUAAAGCGCACGUUAGGCGGCUUUGUAAGAUAAGAGGUGAAAGCCCAGAGCUCAAACUCUGGAAAUUGCCUUUUAGACUGCAAUCGCUUGAAUCAUGGAAGAGGUCAGUGGAAUUCCGAGUGUAGAGGUGAAAUUCGUAGAUAUUCGGAAGAACACCAGUGGCGAAGGCGGGUCUCUGGACAG
rnacentral:rRNA from 1 species